rnacentral:rRNA from 1 species
UGGGGAAUAUUGGACAAUGGGGGAAACCCUGAUCCAGCGAUGCCGCGUGUGAGAAGAAGGCCUGCGGGUUGUAAAUCACUUUAGUUGGGGAAGAAAGAUUGUUUGUAAAUAGCGAAUGAUCAUGACGUUACCCAAAGAAUAAGCACCGGCUAACUCUGUGCCAGCAGCCGCGGUAAUACAGAGGGUGCGAGCGUUAAUCGGAAUUACUGGGCGUAAAGGGCGCGUAGGCGGUGAUAUAAGUUAGAUGUGAAAUCCCCGAGCUUAACUUGGGAACUGCAUUUAAGACUGUAUUGCUAGAGUAGAAUAGAGGUAAGUGGAAUUUCCGGUGUAGCGGUGAAAUGCGUAGAUAUCGGAAAGAACACCAGUGGCGAAGGCGACUUACUGGAUUCAUACUGACGCU